CUUUCACACCAGCUAUCAUCUACAACCUUUUACAACUAUAUUAUAUAUAAUUCAUCUCCCGGGUCCCAACCAAGGCUUCCGCUUCCGCUUUUAUUCCGUUAAAAACAGUUCGAUAUCGGGUAAUCAUCCGAUGCGAAAUUGUAAAAUAACCGGUUGCACAACGGCGCCGUUUUUUCAUUUUUGUUUGAAUUUAGGCUUCCAUCUCCAUUCGUCCGUUCUUCGAUACUUCACUCGUCUCCCAAGUCCCAAGUUCCCAACUCCAUCGCUCUCAGACUCUCGCAGCUUCAGCCUCCGCCGCUCUCAGCCUCUCUCAGUCGCAUCUUCACUCUCUCAGGAGUUCAUGCUUUUAAGGAGAUUGCAAGGCUUGCCACUCAUACUAUCCUGGCUGCAUGUGGUUUAGAGCACCGUAUGUCUGGGUUUCACCCCUUCCGGAGCUCAGCGUGCAGCCGCACUCAACAUAUUCAGCAUCUCCACAAGUCCAGUCUAAUGCCUAAUUCUUGCCGAGAAUGCUUUUGUAUAUUUGUAAAGGAUGUUGUCUGUAAUGUUUCAGAAAGUGAGUUGUAUUGAAUCAAACAGGUAUGUUCUAAAACGGUUAAUGCCCAAUAAUAUUGGUAUACGGAUGUGUUAGGAAAA